rnacentral:rRNA from 1 species
AGUGGCAAACGGGUGCGUAACACAUUGGUAAUCUACCUCGAAGUCGUGAAUAACCAACCGAAAGGUUGGCUAAUACACUGAUGGAAAUGGGGGGACAUAAGUCAUUCCCAUUUAAAGUUCCGACGCUUCGAGAGGAGCCUAUGGCCCAUCAGCUUGUUGGUAGUGUAAAAGACUACCAAGGCUACGACGGGUAGCGGGUGUGAGAGCACGACCCGCCUCACUGGGACUGAGACACUGCCCAGACUCCUACGGGAGGCUGCAGUCAAGAAUAUUCCGCAAUGCCCUAACGGGUGACGGAGCGACGCCGCGUGCAGGAUGAAGCCUUUCGGGGUGUAAACUGCUUUUAUAAAGGAAGAACAAAUGACGGUACUUUAUGAAUAAGGGGUUGCUAACUCUGUGCCAGCAGCAGCGGUAAUACAGAGACCCCAAGCGUUAUCCGGAUUUAUUGGGCGUAAAGCGUGCGCAGGUGGCAUUUUAAGUCGUUGGUCAAAGACCGGGGCUCACUCGGAAAGGCUGGCGAUACUUGAUGUGCUUGAGAUGGAAGAGGCAAGCGGAAUUACCGGUGUAGCGGUAAAAUGCGUUAAUAUCGGUAAGAACACCAAAAAUGCAAGGCAGCUUGCUAGUACAUUCCUGACACUGAAGCACGAAAGCGUGGGGAGCAAAGAGGAUUAGAUACCCUNGUAGUCCACGCCGUAAACUAUGGACACUAGACAUUGGAAGUAUCGACCCUUUCAGUGUCGCACUAUUUAAGCUAACGCGUUAAGUGUCCCGCCUGGGGAGUACGGCCGCAAGGCUAAAACUCAAAGGAAUUGACGGGAGCCCGCACAAGCGGUGGAGCAUGUGGUUUAAUUCGAUGAUAAGCGAGGAACCUUACCAGGACUUGACAUCCUAAGAACCCCGAGUAAUGUUGGGGGUGCUUUUGAACUUAGAGACAGGUGCUGCAUGGUUGUCGUCAGCUCGUGUCGUGAGAUGUACGGUUAAGUCCGGAAACGAGCGCAACCCUUAUCCUAUGUUAUAUAUGUCAUAGGAGACUGCCAGCUUUAAGCUGGAGGAAGGCGAGGAUGACGUCAAAUCAGCAUGGCUCUUACGUCCUGGGCGACACACGUGCUACAAUGGCCGGUACAACGGGAAGCCAAGCCGAAAGGUGGAGCAAGUCCUAUCAAAACCGGUCUUAGUUCGGAUUGAGGUCUGCAACUCGACCUCAUGAAGCUGGAAUCGCUAGUAACCGCGCAUCAGCCACGGCGCGG